rnacentral:lncRNA from 1 species
GGAGAUGGGAGCGCCUAGGGACCCGAACCGAGUGCACCUGCUGCAGCCUGGCACUAGGGAUUUGAAAAUCCAUGGAGAUGGAAACCUAUGCCGAGGUUAGAAGACCUGGAUCCACUUUGCAGGAUUUUAAAUAUCCUUCAAGCCUCAGUGCCUGGCAGACUGGACUUUGGACUUCGGACUUCCAGCUCCGAUGCUGAAAAAGGAGGGUUUUUUUGUUUGUUUGUUUUUCCACUUUGCUUCCUUGCUUGUCGAGGCUGAGAACAUACGGUGUUUUUGAGGGCCACCAUCAAAGGGUACUCGCUUCUCCAAACCUUGGAACCCGAGGUCUAGCCUUGGAAAGAGUUGCCGCCUUACCAUCUCUCCUCGCCUAGGGAAGCCCCAGCUGUGUGCGCUACUGCAGGGUCACAGUGCCGCGGUGCCGAGCUUCUUUCGUGGUCCCUGUCGCCGUCCGUUUCUUGAGAUUUCAGACUCUGGGCUUGGAAACCAGUUGACUGCCUUUCUUAGCGAGGUGCCCUCGGAAACCUGUGGAGGAAUGUUUGGAUUAUGAAUGCUCACCGUGCCGAGUCCUCGAAGCUAUGUGACAGAGGUGGAGCACCUGGAAUGCAUAGAGAACCAGGUUCCCUUUGGAAAAUAUUCACUCGCUUCCACCAGCCCAAACCCGAAGGUACCAUCAGUACGUGAGGCCUACAACAGGGUUCUCUGUUUUCCUGUAGCCAGCCUCUCUGAUGCUCCCAACAAUGUAUUUGAAAAGC